rnacentral:rRNA from 1 species
UACGAAGGGGGCGAGCGUUGUUCGGAUUUACUGGGCGUAAAGGGCGCGUAGGCGGCGGGCCAAGUCGAGUGUGAAAGCCCCGGGCUCAACCUGGGAGGUGCGCUCGAGACUGGUUUGCUGGAGUUCGGGAGAGGAGCGUGGAAUUCCCAGUGUAGAGGUGAAAUUCGUAGAUAUUGGGAAGAACACCGGUGGCGAAGGCGGCGCUCUGGACCGAGACUGACGCUGAGGCGCGAAGGCGUGGGGGAGCAAACAGG